GACGAACGCUGGCGGCGUGCUUAACACAUGCAAGUCGAACGGUAAGGCCCUUCGGGGUACACGAGUGGCGAACGGGUGAGUAACACGUGGGUGAUCUGCCCUGCACUUCGGGAUAAGCCUGGGAAACUGGGUCUAAUACCGGUUAGGACCCUGGGAUGCAUGUCCUGGGGUGGAAAGCUUUUGUGGUGUGGGAUGGGCCCGCGGCCUAUCAGCUUGUCGGUGGGGUGAGGGCCUACCAAGGCGACGACGGGUAGCCGGCCUGAGAGGGUGACCGGCCACACUGGGACUGAGAUACGGCCCAGACUCCUACGGGAGGCAGCAGUGGGGAAUAUUGCACAAUGGGCGCAAGCCUGAUGCAGCGACGCCGCGUGAGGGAUGACGGCCUUCGGGUUGUAAACCUCUUUCAGCACCGACGAAGCGCAAGUGACGGUAGGUGCAGAAGAAGGACCGGCCAACUACGUGCCAGCAGCCGCCGCAG
rnacentral:rRNA from 1 species